UUACAAAAAUUUUUCGUUCUUUUCUCAUUCUUUUCAAAAAAUCUCUUUUCUUUUAAUAUCUUCGAUUUUUCAGCCAAGACCAUCAUAAUUCUGAGAUUUUUUCCUUUCGAUUAAAAAAAAAGAAGUGAAAAUUGAUUAAAUACAUUUGAAGAUACAAGUCAACGAAAUUUUGGGGUUAGUGUAACCCUUGUGUGUAGGAAUCGGGAGAAAAAUAAGGUGUGUAGGCAGAGGGUUAUAUAUAUAUAAAUUACAUUGUUAAUAUAUUCGUAUUUUUAUUUUAUAUACAUUUUAUAUAUUUAUAUUAACAGUAUUAUACAUCAUAUUUUCUUACCUUUCUAAUUACAGUUAACUGCAUGGUAAUCAAAUAAGAUGGAAAUUUAGCGCGUUAAAGAAGUUAUAUAAUAAAAAAAGGGAUCAUAAUCGUACUAGUGGAAAUGCUCCAAAGGCUCUUGAUAAAUUUGAAGAACCAAUUAAAGAAAUUUCAGAUUGUGCUCGUCGUUCAGGAAAAGGAGGUGACGUUCUUAAUGGUAGGAGGGGAAGUGGCGUGUCGAUGAUGAAAGAAAAGGAUUUCAGCUGGUAUACUCCUUGGGAUGAAUCGGAUACUAUAUUGCAGGGAUCCUCCUUCUGGUUGCGUUGUUCCUCAGUUGCUAUCGGCUUUGCCUGUUGAAAUUAGAAAACAAAAAAAAGGGGAGGUAAAGACUACCAGGGAGCGUAUACUGUAACCUCGAAGGUGAAUCGAGUGUUCGACCUGAGUUAGUAUACCUCGAGAUGGUGGAUCAUGAUACUGUAACCUCGAGGAUGUUAUUAGUCGACCCGAGUUAGUAUCUGAAUUGUUUGCAUGUAUACUGUUAUCUCGAGGGUGACAGAAUUGUCGAUCCGAGCUAGUAUACGUCAGGGAAGAGUAUCGUCAAUACUGUAACCUCGAGGGUGAUGCGAGGAUCACCGAGACCCGAGCUAGUAUUUUAGUUAUUGCGUUUUAUUUUUAUUCUCGGAGGGUUAUUAAUUAAUAAAUUUCUAGAAAGAAUGUAAGAAAUGACUCGAAUUGAAUCCCGGGAACAACUAAUCGUGCUCAUGUUACUGCUCUCAAGGAACGUACCAAGACGUGCGCAAAAAUGGCCGUCCAACAGUCUGAACGCGCCCUGCGAUCGUACCCGCAUUUACCUGACAUGACUUUGUGUAAAUGAAAAGAGGUAAGGAAUAGGAAGGUACCUGAAAAUGAGGUGGUGACUCUCUCAACCG